rnacentral:rRNA from 1 species
GAUGAACGCUGGCGGCGUGCCUAAUACAUGCGAGUCGAGCGAACGGACGAGAAGCUUUCUUCUCUGAUUUUAGCGGCGGACGGGUGAGUAACACGUGGAUAACCUACCUAUAAGACUGGGGUAAAUUCGGGAAACCGGAGCUAAGACCGGAUAAUAUUUUGAACCGCAUGGUUCAAGAGUGUAAGACGGUCGUUCUGUCGCUUAUAGAUGGAUCCGCGCUGCAUUAGCUAGUUGGUAAGGUAACGGCUUACCAAGGCAACGAUGCAUAGCCGACCUGAGAGGGUGGACGAGCACCCUGGCACUGAGGAUAGGCACCGACUCCUAAGGGAAGCCACAGUAGGGAAUCCUCCGCAAUGGGCGAAAGCCUGACGGAGCAACGCCGCGUGAGUGAUGAAGGUCUUCGGAUCGUAAAACUAUGUUAUUAGGGAAGAACAUAUGUGUAAGUAACUGUGCACAUCUUGACGGUACCUAAUCAGAAAGCCACGGCUAACUCCGUG